rnacentral:rRNA from 1 species
CUACGUGCCAGCAGCCGCGGUAAUACGUAGGGUGCGAGCGUUAAUCGGAAUUACUGGGCGUAAAGCGAGCGCAGACGGUUACUUAAGCAGGAUGUGAAAUCCCCGGGCUCAACCUGGGAACUGCGUUCUGAACUGGGUGACUAGAGUGUGUCAGAGGGAGGUAGAAUUCCACGUGUAGCAGUGAAAUGCGUAGAGAUGUGGAGGAAUACCGAUGGCGAAGGCAGCCUCCUGGGAUAACACUGACGUUCAUGCUCGAAAGCGUGGGUAGCAAACAGGAUUAGAUACCCUGGUAGUCCACGCCCUAAACGAUGUCAAUUAGCUGUUGGGCAACUUGAUUGUUCAGUAGCGUAGCUAACGCGUGAAAUCGACCGCCUGGGGAGUACGGCCGCAAGGUUAAAACUCAAAUGAAUUGACGGGGGCCCGCACAAGCGGUGGAGCAUGUGGUUUAAUUCGAUGCAACGCGAAGAACCUUACCUACUCUUGACAUCCAGAGAACAUUC